rnacentral:rRNA from 1 species
UACGUAGGGGGCAAGCGUUGUUCGGAAUUACUGGGCGUAAAGGGCGCGUAGGCGGCCCUCUAAGUCAGACGUGAAAUCCCUCGGCUCAACCGGGGAACUGCGUCUGAGACUGGAAGGCUUGAAUUCGGGAGAGGGAUGUGGAAUUCCAGGUGUAGCGGUGAAAUGCGUAGAUAUCGUCAAGAACACCUAUAGCGAAGGCAGCUUACUAGGCUGUAACUGACGCUGAGGCACGAAAGUGUGGGGAUCAAACAGG